CUCGUAGGCGGCCAACUAAGUCCGACGUGAAAUCCCAAAGCUUAACUUUGGAACUGCGUCGGAUACUGGAUGGCUUGAAUUCGGGAGAGGGAUGCAGAAUUCCAGGUGUAGCGGUGAAAUGCGUAGAUAUCUGGAGGAAUACCGGUGGCGAAGGCGGCAUCCUGGACCGACAUUGACGCUGAUGAGCGAAAGCUAGGGGAGCAAACG
rnacentral:rRNA from 1 species